GCCUCCAUAGCUCAACGGAUAGAGCAGCUGCCUCCUAAGUGGCAGAUGCAGGUUCAAUUCCUGCUGGAGGCA
rnacentral:tRNA from 1 species